UACGUAGGGGGCUAGCGUUGUCCGGAUUUAUUGGGCGUAAAGCGCGUGUAGGCGGCUCUUCAAGUCAGACGUGAAAGCCCCGGGCUUAACCCGGGAACUGCGUUUGAUACUGUCGAGCUAGAGUGUGGAAGGGGCGAUUGGAAUUCCGUGUGUAGCGGUGAAAUGCGUAGAUAUACGGAGGAACACCAGAGGCGAAGGCGGAUCGCUGGGCCAACACUGACGCUGAGACGCGAAAGCUAGGGGAGCAAACGGG
rnacentral:rRNA from 1 species